rnacentral:rRNA from 1 species
UGCAGUCGAGGGGUAUAGCACUUCGGUGCUAGAGACCGGCGCACGGGUGCGUAACGCGUAUGCAAUCUACCUUUCACAGAGGGAUAGCCCAGAGAAAUUUGGAUUAAUACCUCAUAGCAUAACGACCUGGCAUCAGGAUGUUAUUAAAGUCACAACGGUGAAAGAUGAGCAUGCGUCCCAUUAGCUAGUUGGUAAGGUAACGGCUUACCAAGGCUACGAUGGGUAGGGGUCCUGAGAGGGAGAUCCCCCACACUGGUACUGAGACACGGACCAGACUCCUACGGGAGGCAGCAGUGAGGAAUAUUGGACAAUGGGCGCAAGCCUGAUCCAGCCAUGCCGCGUGCAGGAUGACGGUCCUAUGGAUUGUAAACUGCUUUUAUACGAGAAGAAACAACAUUACGUGUAAUGUCUUGACGGUAUCGUAAGAAUAAGGAUCGGCUAACUCCGUGCCAGCAGCCGCGGUAAUACGGAGGAUCCAAGCGUUAUCCGGAAUCAUUGGGUUUAAAGGGUCCGUAGGCGGUUUGGUAAGUCAGUGGUGAAAGCCCAUCGCUCAACGGUGGAACGGCCAUUGAUACUGCCAGACUUGAAUUAUUAGGAAGUAACUAGAAUAUGUAGUGUAGCGGUGAAAUGCUUAAGAGAUUACAUGGAAUACCAAUUGCGAAAGGCAGGGUUACUACUAAAGGAUUGACGCUUG